GGCAGGUCUGACAGAUCAAGAUGGUGUCCCCAUCCCAGCUCCUCGGGCUCCUGUUGCUCUGGGUCUCAGGCUGCAAAGGAAUCAAAGUGCUGACUCAGUCCCCAGGCUUUCUGUCUGCUUCUCCAGGAGAGAGAGUCACUAUCAGCUGCAAAUCCAGUGAGACUCUUACCCACAGUGAUGGAAAAAAUUACUUACACUGGUACCAGCAGAAACCUGGACAAGCUCCUAAGCUGAUCAUUAAACAGGCCACCACCCUGAUGCCCGGGGUCCCAUCCCGUUUCAGCGGCAGUGGAUCUGGAACAGAUUUCAUUCUCACCAUCAGUGGUGUGGAAGCAGAAGACGCUGUGAACUAUUAUUGUGGCCAAAGCUAUAACCCUCCCACAGUGCUCCAGUUCCACACAAAAACCUUCCCCGGCUGGUUGAUCGGUGAUGCUCAGCUGUCCCAGCUGCUCCCUCCUCCCCCUGAAGCUGCUCUGGGGAUGCUCAGUCGCAGCAUCUCACUCGUGGAGGUAAAGGGUUUGCAGCCUCUUGGGGAAGGGGCCGGACUGGCAGUUUGAGAUACUGGAGUUCUCUGCUUCUCCUCAUGUAGAAACCUUUCUUUACCAUUAUCCCCUUAGAACAGCCCCCUAGAAUAUAUUCUGUUACCUUUUGGGUCUAAAAGGGCAUGGCUGACAGUAUGACUACUUUCUGGUUUGCGACAAUCUCACUGAUCUCCUAUUACAGCCCAGUUUGCACGCUCUGCUUCUCUAGUGCCAGCUUACUCACUGUGUCCCAAUCUCAUCUAUCUCACCACUGAUCCCUUUCCCACAUCCUCCCACAGCCUGUAAUUUCCUACCUAUCCUUACAUGCCAGACUACCACUGUCCUCACCUUUAAAUAAUCAUCAAGGUCACAUCUCCUCCAAAAGGCCUUUUCCCUGCAUCAUUCCCCCUUCUGUGGUGUCUAUGCACUCUAAUCUGUGAUCUUUUGGCAUUUGAUAUUCAAUCCCCCUGCCCCCCAACACCA